rnacentral:lncRNA from 1 species
AUAAGGUCCUGGGGAGUGCAUGUAGGAUUGUAGGGAUCGUGAAUAAAAGAAAUUCGGGUCCAAAUCCUAAGAGGCCAAUAAAAAUAAAAAUAAGCAAAAAGAAAAAAUAAAUUGGGAGAAACAUGGUUGAUACAACCGCAAGUGCACGGUUGUCGCGAAGUAAUAAAAUAGAUAUCGAACAAUAGAGAUCAAUGAUUUAAGUAUCAAAUUCUUAUCAAAUC